rnacentral:rRNA from 1 species
GGGGGGGGGGGGGGGGGGGGGGGGGGGGGGGGGGGCGGGGGGGGGGGGGGGGGGCGGGGGGGUCGGGCGGGGGCGGCGGGCGGGUGGGGAACACGGGGAGAACGUACCGAUGAGACUGGGAUAACUUCGGGAAACCGGAGCGAAGACCGGAUGAGAUAUUGAACCGCAUGGUGCCAUAGGGAAAGACGGGUUGGCUGUCACUUAUAGCUGGACCCGCGCCGCAUUAGCUAGUUGGUAAGGGAACGGCUUACCAAGGCGACGAGGCGUAGCCGACCUGAGAGGGUGAUCGGCCCCCCGGCAACUGAACCACCGCCCAACCUCCUCCGGGAGGCAGCAGUCGGGAUUCUUCCCAAAUGGGCGAAAGCCUGCCGGAGCAACGCAGCGUGGGUGAUGAAGGUCUUCGGAUCGUAAAACUCUGUUAUUAGGGAAAAACAAAUGUGUACGUCACUAUGCACGUCUUGACGGUACCUAAUCAGAAAGCCCCGCCUACCUCCGC